rnacentral:rRNA from 1 species
GAAAAGAAACUAACAAGGAUUUCCCUAGUAGUGGCGAACGACCGGGAAUUAGCCCAGCACCGAAUCCUGUAUGUUUCAUACUAGGAAUUGUGGUGUAAAGGUUGUAUCUUUAAUUGUUAAUCGAGUUCCAAAUUCACUUGAUUGUGAUGUUGUCCAUAGAGGGUGUUAGACCCGUUGGGAUUCGUGAGACUUUUAUUGAUGCUUCCUAUGAGUCGGAUUGUUUGAGAAUGCAGUCCAAAUUUGGUGGUAAACUCCAUCUAAGGCUAAAUACUUGUGUGAGUCCGAUAGCAAACAAGUACCGUGAGGGAAAGUUGAAAAGCACUUUGAAGAGAGAGUUAAAUAGUACGCUGAAAUUGCUUAGAGGUAAACGAGUGGAGCCGAAGAUGUUCUAUGGGAUUCAGUUGAUUGUAGUUUGAUAUUUAGUUGGUAAAAUCCAAUUCGGAAUUAUCAAUUAGAUUAAUUAGAUUGCAAUCAAUGCACUUUCCAUAGAGCAAAACUGUGACCGAUAGCGUUGUUUUUCUGUCGUAAUGUUGAAUGUGACCAAUUCUUCGGAAUUGGUUUUAUAGCUCAUUGCAUGGUUAAAUGUAAUUUAUCGGUGAAUACGAUUGGUUAAUAUUAACUGUAGUUUAUAUUGAUUUAUUAAUAAUUGGCUAAUAAUAGACUGUUGUUAAUCGGUUAGUGUAGAUUAUUUUUGAUGGAUCAUAUCUAAAGUCGCAGUCUAUAUGUAGGUUACCUACUCGUCCCGUCUUGAAACAYGGACCAAGGAGUUUUAUAUGAUCGCGAGUCAAAGGGCUUUACGAAACCCCAGGGCGUAAUUAAUGUAAAGGUUUGCUUUCGUAAACUGAGAUGUGACCUAUGAUAUUUUAUCAAUCGUUGCAACAUCUACCCGUCUAAAGGUGUUCGCAUCUGGGCGGAGUUUGAGCGAUCAUGUAGAGACCCGAAAGAUGGUGAACUAUGCUUGUGCAGGUUGAAGUCAGGGGAAACUCUGAUGGAGGACCGCCGCGGUUCUGACGUGCAAAUCGAUCGUCGGACAUGAGUAUAGGGGCGAAAGACUAAUCGAACCAUCUARUAGCUGGUUCCCUCCGAAGUUUCCCUCAGGAUAGCUGGCGUUUGAUGUCGUAGUUUCACCUGGUAAAGCGAAUGAUUAGAAGUAUUGGGGACGAAAUGUCCUCAACUUAUUCUCAAACUUUAAAUGGGUUCGAAGCAUGUCUCUCUUCAUUGGAGAUGUGCAUUGAAUACGAAUGCCUAGUGGGCCAUUUUUGGUAAGCAGAACUGGCGAUGUGGGAUGAACCAAACAUUUAGUUAAGGUGCCUAACAUCACGCUCAUGAGAACCCACAAAAGGUGUUGGUUGAUAAAGACAGCAGGACGGUGGACAUGGAAGUCGUCAUCCGCUAAGGAGUGUGUAACAACUCACCUGCCGAAUCAACCAGCCCUGAAAAUGGAUGGCGCUGUAGCGUGAGACCUAUACUGAAUCGGUAUCGUAAGAUUUUCGAAUCGAGNNNNNCGGUAUCGUGUAGGAGGGUGCCGUGAUUGCUNNNNNNNNNNNNNNNNCGUGAGUCAGANGUGGAGCGGU